rnacentral:rRNA from 1 species
UGGGGAAUAUUGCACAAUGGGCGCAAGCCUGAUGCAGCCAUGCCACGUGUAUGAAGAAGGCCUUCGGGUUGUAAAGUACUUUCAGCGGGGAGGAAGGGAGUAAAGUUAAUACCUUUGCUCAUUGACGUCACCCGCAGAAGAAGCACCGGCUAACUCCGUGCCAGCAGCCGCGGUAAUACGGAGGGUGCAAGCGUUAAUCGGAAUUACUGGGCGUAAAGCGCACGCAGGCGGUUUGUUAAGUCAGAUGUGAAAUCCCCGGGCUCAACCUGGGAACUGCAUCUGAUACUGGCAAGCUUGAGUCUCGUAGAGGGGGGUAGAAUUCCAGGUGUAGCGGUGAAAUGCGUAGAGAUCUGGAGGAAUACCGGUGGCGAAGGCGGCCCCCUGGACGAAGGCUGACGCUCAGGUGCGAAAGCGUGGGGAGCAAACAGG